CAAGACCAAAUAAGGUAAGACUUGGUCAUGUUAGAAUUUCCUUCUAUAUUUAUUUGACAUAUUUUUGAAAGGAUCAGUUAAUUUCCUGAUGGAUAGCUCCCUCUUCUGUCUGGUUUCUAGAAUUCACGUCUCCUGAAACCACAGAUGGAAGAUGCACCAUGUACCACAGAAUUCUGUAGCUUUGCUGAAGAUGGAGAUGCAUCAGCCGGCCGUUUAGAAAGAAGAUCUAUAGUUCGGUAGCAGUAAGGCAUUAGAGGACCACUGCUUAAAGGGGUCAUCUGUGCCUUAAAGUUAUUUUAUUUUUAAAAAUGGAGAACUGAACCGUAGAGAACUUCACAGAGGGCUCCAGUGACCUGGCCAGUGUCACACCACACAGAAGUAUCAGAGGAAGGUGAAGGCAACGCUGGCAUAUUGAUACAUGGCUCUGAUCAACACCUCAUUCUGCUCCCCAUAAAAUGCCGUUGUCAGGAAAAGAAGAACAUACGCUUCCCUCACUCUCUCUAGUUAUUUAGACUCCUGAAGGGUUGUGCACCUGCAACAUUUCAGGACUUUAUUCUUCUGGUUCCAUUUCAAGCCCAGCCAGAGAGACAACAGUGGACAUUGGUAAAGAACUCGGCCACUGGAGUCGCACAGUCCUGGGUUAGGUCUGCUCUGCACCCACCAGUUUUAUGACCUUGGGCAAGACACUUAAUGUCUCCAAUCCUCGGUUUCCUUAUCUGUAAAGCGGGGAAAAUUGUAUCUACUUGAUUUUGUUGUCAGGGUUAAAAUAGGUGAUAAUCUCUCUAAAGCACACAGCAUGGAGCUGGACACAUUGAUGCCUAGAAACGUUGGCUGCAGUGAUUGUCACCAGCUCACCAUUCCAGAGUGUGAAAUGAGUGCUUCUUCAUAUCUCACUUGGCUCAUUUGUGCCUCGUGAUAUUCAACAUGCUCACAGACAUCUCCAGCCAUUUUUAUCUACUUUUUUUCUUUCUACAGUUUCAGCUGUUGCUAACAUUAUGCACAGUGGAAAGAAAGCAAAGCUUCUUAGCUUUGUCUUUUUACCAUGUAUUUCUUCUAUCUUCUCUGCCCUUCUUUAGAGAUGCUCUGGCAUGGAAGGGUGCUCAUGCUCACUUCUGGGCCUUUUGCCCAGUUAAACCCCCAGACCCUCUUUCCUCCUUUUCAAGCAAUUAGAAUUCAUCCUUAGAUGUCUUUCAUCUAGAGGAUGUAGUUCCCUUGUCUGUAGGUUGGAUCUAGCCUCAGACUUCUUUCCUUUGGCCAGCACAGUGCUUACUUUUUUUUUUUUUUUUUAAAGCAUUAGUUACUAAGUUCUAGCAGUAGGGAAAUUUCAUAUAAAAGCCAAGAAAUGGUAUGUGUCCUGGGGCCCCCUCUUCCUAGCGGCCAUCAGCAGAUGCAUAGCCGCAGUCCUCUUCAGACAGCUCGGUGCUGCUUAAGUUUGCCAGAGUGUCUACCAUUCUCUGGUCCGCCUUGUUAUUUGCCUUCCUCUUGAUGCCAGAGUCUCUUGCUUUUGUAACUGAACAAAUUUAAAUCCUCAACAGGUAGUAAUGGGUGGACUGGCUUCAUGAAAUACAUGACUUUCCAAUGUUUUCCAUGUAUUCAACAUCAAUACCUAUGAACUACCUUUUUCAUGCUGAAUUAAGAUGAUGAACAAACAUUUCAAGCUGAUGUGCAGGGGUCUUACCUGCCAGAUGAGACUUGGGAAUAUCAGUGUCUCUACCCACAUCAGUAUUUGAGGGGUUAUAUGAAUAUUUGUGUGACUCUUACUUCUUCUAUAAAAAAUGUUAUAAAAAUUGGGGCUCCUGAGUGGCUCAGUUAA